AAGGUUUCCGUAGGUGAACCUGCGGAAGGAUCAUUAUUGAAUGAACUUGGUGUGGUUGUCGCUGGCCCUCUUGGGGGCAUGUGCACACCUACCAUCCUCAUCUCUCCACCUGUGCACCUCUUGUAGAUUUGGAAUUGAUUAUCCGAGGCAACUCGGUCGUGAGGACUGCUAGCACUUAGCCAGCUUUCUUUGCAAUUCCAGGUCUAUGUUUUUCAUAUACCCCAUUGUAUGUAACAGAAUGUAUCAUUGGGCCCUUGUGCCUAAUAAACCUUAUACAACUUUCAGCAACGGAUCUCUUGGCUCUCGCAUCGAUGAAGAACGCAGCGAAAUGCGAUAAGUAAUGUGAAUUGCAGAAUUCAGUGAAUCAUCGAAUCUUUGAACGCACCUUGCGCUCCUUGGUAUUCCGAGGAGCAUGCCUGUUUGAGUGUCAUUAAAUUCUCAACCAUUAUCAACUUUUGCUGAUAAUGGCUUGGAUGUGGGGGUCUAUUUUGCUGGCUUCUCAGAUAGUCAGCUCCCCUUAAAUGCAUUAGCCGGUGCCCCGCGUGGACUGUCUAUUGGUGUGAUAAUUAUCUACGCUAUAGACAUCUGCAAUCAUAUGGGUUUGCGCUGCUUCUAACAGUCUGUUGAUUCAGACAAUACAUGACAAUUUGACCUCAAAUCAGGUAGGACUACCCGCUGAACUUAA
rnacentral:rRNA from 1 species